AUGAACAGAGUCCAAUCUCAGACGCUGUGGCUCCUCACACGCCGGCGGUCCCUACAGCAGGUCGACGGCGGGUCCACGUUCUGUGCCGUGGCGUCUCUGUGCAUGAUGGGAAAGCUGCAGGAGGUGUUCAGCGAGCGAGAGCUGAAGCGGAUCCAGACAGCAGAACGGCUUCCACGGCCUGCUACUCCUUCUGGCUCGGAGCCACGCUGCAGUACACUCACUUCCAGAAGAACCGCAGCUGCCUUCUGUCCACGCAGGACCGCUUGGUGGCGGAUUCGCUAAAUCAGUCAUCCAGACCCUCUCCACAUGUACUUGUGCAUCAGUGGUCUGUCUCUGAUGGCAGCAGCUGCAUGCGGCGCUGAACAUCAGUGUUGGAGCGUUCGAGAGUCUGCAGCAGCUGCAGGAGGCGUGGAGGCAGAAGAGCACAUGAUGACGCUUCGCUUCGUUUGGGCCCCGGAUUCAUCCUCCCUCAUCAGUGUUUGAUUAUUAGUUUCUGCCUUACAGACCAGCUGAUCCUGGACUAUUAUACACUAUUUAUUUCUGUUUUACGCUUUAUAUAUAUAUAUAUAUAUACAUUUCCGUUUCUUAUUCUUUCUGUGAAAUCAUCGUCCUCUCUUGAAUGUGCCUCAGAUGUCUUUAGGAUGUUACAGUAUAUGCUAUAAACACACACAUCUGCACUGAAGACGCUUGAAUGUGUGCUUCAAGGAUCAAAUGAUGAGAUAAUUUCUAUUCUGUAAUAUCUAGUGUAGAAGUGACAGUCACACUGCUCGUAUUUUAUUAUGAUGUAAAGUUGAAGUGCUGAACUGAUGGACUGCGAGUGUCAAUAAAUGAAGAGCUUUUAUCAUGUCUGAGAUGUUUAUGAUAAAUAAUAAUUUUUUGAAUUGUUAUAUGUGUGAUUAUUAUAUGCAUAUUUAAUAAUGGUUAUCAAGUUGUUUUCAACAUGUCUGAGAUUUAGAUAUUAUUUUUAGAGUCACCUUAAGACAAAAAAAAACCCUGGAGAAAAAUGUAUGUGUGUGUGUGUGAGAGUGUGUGUGUGUGUGUGUGUGUGUGUGUGUGUGAGAGUGUGUGUGAGUGUGUGUGUGUGUGUGAGAGUGAGUGUGAUAGAGUGUGUGUGUGUGUGUGCGUGUAUGUGUGUCAGAGAGUGAGUGUGUGUGUGUGUGUGUGUGUGUGUGUGUGCGUGUAUGUGUGUCAGAGAGUGAGUGUGUGUGUGUGUGUAUAUAUGUAUAUAUAAAAUCUUUUAAUUACAUAUUUUGAGGAAGAACAUGUAUUAAGUGUUGCAUGCAUGAUAAUAGCAAUGUGUAGGUGAGCAAAGAUCCCUUUGUUAAAUCAUUAACUUAGAAUGGUAUGAACUAUGAAAAUAAUACAAUCACACUCACACUCACACACACACACACACACACACACACACACUCACUCUCUCACACACACACACACACUCACACACACACCCACACACACACAGACUCAUACUUUAUACGGCCCCCCUGGCCUUACGUCAAGGACCUCUAGGGGUCCACGGACCCCUGUUUGAGAAACACUGUCCUAGAAUAGAAUAAAGGGAGAUAUUCCAGAGACACUGCUUCACAUAUACAGAACAAUCAUGCAGAAUUAUGGGUCAAAGGUGGUUUGGAUUUAACGUCAAACCUUCAAAACAUCAGACGGUUAGAGAUGGCUGUAAACUGCUGGAUGUGGUGCGUCAAACUCUGAUUGCAGGAGGAAAAACUGAUGAAUAAUUCAUAUAAAAAGGCGAUAUUUGUGUCGAUUCUGAGUUUUACUCGACAGAUUUCAAGUGCUGCUUGUACUGAGGUUUACACCACAGCAUAAAGUAUAUGUUCAGAGAAAACCUGAAUGACCCACAUGUGCAAUGAAUCAUAAAUGUGAAGUUUAAUGAGGUAAACCUGCUCUGCUGUCCUGCUUUGCUGGGUUACAUGCUCUUAGACGUGUACAGUAUUUGAUCAUGUGUACACGAAGCAUGUGUUUGCAUCAGGGCUGCUUGUGUGAUACUGCUGCUCUCAGGAGCUGUGCACAUGUGCUGCACUGAGCAUUAUCUGCUCAUGUGUGUGGCCUGAUGAAGCUGCACCAAGAGCUGUCAGUCAGCGAGGCCACGCCCACAGAGCCAGCGAGUGGGCGGGGUCUCGCGUCUUCGAGACGGUGCUCGAGUUGAAUGAAUUCUCUCUCGAUCUCUGCGAGCGGACCCUCCUCAUCCUCAUCCUCAUCCUCAUCUUCA
rnacentral:lncRNA from 1 species